UGGGGAAUUUUGGACAAUGGGCGAAAGCCUGAUCCAGCAAUGCCGCGUGUGUGAAGAAGGCCUUCGGGUUGUAAAGCACUUUUGUCCGGAAAGAAAUCCUUGGCUCUAAUACAGUCGGGGGAUGACGGUACCGGAAGAAUAAGCACCGGCUAACUACGUGCCAGCAGCCGCGGUAAUACGUAGGGUGCAAGCGUUAAUCGGAAUUACUGGGCGUAAAGCGUGCGCAGGCGGUUUGCUAAGACCGAUGUGAAAUCCCCGGGCUCAACCUGGGAACUGCAUUGGUGACUGGCAGGCUAGAGUAUGGCAGAGGGGGGUAGAAUUCCACGUGUAGCAGUGAAAUGCGUAGAGAUGUGGAGGAAUACCGAUGGCGAAGGCAGCCCCCUGGGCCAAUACUGACGCUCAUGCACGAAAGCGUGGGGAGCAAACAGGAUUAGAUACCCUGGUAGUCCACGCCCUAAACGAUGUCAACUAGUUGUUGGGGAUUCAUUUCCUUAGUAACGUACUAACGCGUGAAGUUGACCGCCUGGGGAGUACGGUCGCAAGAUUAAAACUCAAAUG
rnacentral:rRNA from 1 species